rnacentral:misc_RNA from 1 species
AGAAGUAAAAGUCGUAACAAGGUCUCCGUUGGUGAACCAGCGGAGGGAUCAUUACCGAGUUUACAACUCCCAAACCCAAUGUGAACCGUACCAAACCGUUGCCUCGGCGGGGUCACGCCCCGGGCGCGUCGCAGCCCCGGAACCAGGCGCCCGCCGGAGGGACCAACCAAACUCUCUUUGCAGUCCCCUCGCGGACGUUAUUCCUCACAGCUCUGAGCAAAAAAAUUCAAAAUGAAUCAAAACUUUCAACAACGGAUCUCUUGGUUCUG